rnacentral:rRNA from 1 species
GUAGUCAUAUGCUUGUCUCAAAGAUUAAGCCAUGCAUGUCUAAGUAUAAGCAAUUUAUACGGUGAAACUGCGAAUGGCUCAUUAAAUCAGUUAUCGUUUAUUUGAUAGUACCUUACUACAUGGAUACCUGUGGUAAUUCUAGAGCUAAUACAUGCUAAAAACCUCGACUUCGGAAGGGGUGUAUUUAUUAGAUAAAAAACCAAUGCCCUUCGGGGCUCCUUGGUGAAUCAUAAUAACUUAACGAAUCGCAUGGCCUUGCGCCGGCGAUGGUUCAUUCAAAUUUCUGCCCUAUCAACUUUCGAUGGUAGGAUAGUGGCCUACCAUGGUGGCAACGGGUAACGGGGAAUGA